rnacentral:rRNA from 1 species
UACGUAGGGGGCGAGCGUUGUCCGGAAUUAUUGGGCGUAAAGCGCGCGCAGGCGGUUUUUAAGUUCGUGGUGAAAGACCGGGGCUCAACCCGGAGCGUCCGCGAAGACUGGAAGACUGGAGUGUCGGAGAGGAGUGCGGAAUCCUGGUGUAGCGGUGGAAUGCGUAGAGAUCAGGUGGAACACCGAUGGCGAAGGCAGCACUCUGGCCGAAUACUGAGCUGAGGCGCGAAAGCGUGGGGAGCGAACGGG